rnacentral:misc_RNA from 1 species
UGCGAUACGUAAUGUGAAUUGCAGAGCUCAGUGAAUCAUCGAAUCUUUGAACGCACAUUGCGCCUCCCGGCAUCCCGGGAGGUACGCCUGUCCGAGCGUCAUCGCCUUCUCCGGGUCCCUUGUGGCCUGCCCUUGAGCCGGGUGCCCCUGCGCAGGCAUGCUCGUAAUCAGCACAACCAAAAAAGCCCCCGGAACCCCGAGCGCAGUGGCUGCGUAUGCUCGCGUGGGUCCGACGGGCGGCGGCGAUAUUCCGGCCUCAUGGCCCGCUAGUUGACCUCGGAUCAGGUGGGGAUACCCGCUGAACUUAA